rnacentral:rRNA from 1 species
CACGUAGGGUGCGAGCGUUGUCCGGAAUUAUUGGGCGUAAAGAGCUCGUAGGCGGUGUGUCGCGUCGGCCGUGAAAACCUGCAGCUUAACUGUGGGCUUGCGGUCGAUACGGGCAUCACUGGAGUUCGGCAGGGGAGACUGGAAGUUCCUGGUGUAGCGGUGAAAUGCGCAGAUAUCAAGGAGGAACACCGGUGGGCCGAAGGCGGGUCUCUGGGCCGAUGACUGACGCUGGAGGAGCGAAAGCCGUGGGGAGCGAACAGG